GAAAUGCGAUAAGUAAUGUGAAUUGCAGAAUUCAGUGAAUCAUCGAAUCUUUGAACGCACAUUGCGCCCGCCAGUAUUCUGGCGGGCAUGCCUGUCCGAGCGUCAUUUCAACCAUCAAGCCCCCGGGCUUGUGUUGGGGACCUGCGGCUGCCCGCAGGCCCUGAAAACCAGUGGCGGGCUCGCUGUCACACCGAGCGUAGUAGCAAUCACCUCGCUCAGGGCGUGCUGCGGGUUCCGGCCGUUAAGCAGCCUUACAAAACCCAAGGUUGACCUCGGAUCAUGUAGGAAGACCCGCUGAACUUAAGC
rnacentral:misc_RNA from 1 species